GGGGGGCGUGACGGGCCCUACGUCUGGGAGCUGAUUACUGGUGCUCUGAAAGCCUCGCCAUUCCCCGCACGGUGGGGAAACGGAGGCACACGCUGGCGAAAUCCAGGUCUCCAGAGGCCUAGAAACGAGAAAGAAUAUUCUGGUUUUCCGAAACAAGACUGCUCCGCAUAACCUAAAGGAAGUUCCUGUGCCUGGGGUCUAAAGAAGAAGGGAGAGUCUGAUUGUUCCCAGCGGGCUCGAGGUUCGUCUCUACCCUCCCUUACUCCUUGGGGCAAGAUUGGAAGCAGGAGCUAGCUGCAUUCACGCCUGAAGUGGGCUCUCAAUUAAAUUGGCCGGGCGGACCUCCUGCCCUGCAGUCAGCGAAAGCCGAGCCAAGAGGUUCAGGGGGAAGCCCUCCGCCUGAGGGAUGAGCCGCCCCGUAGCGUUGCGCGUCGCCAGCGAAAUGGCUCGAAUUCUUAUCUCCCUGGGAGCAAAGGGAGGGGGCGGGUCUCCCAAACUGCCCGCAGCUUUGCAGAAUGGCAGCCUCAACCCCAACAAGAUUUAUUUGUGUCCCUCCACCGUCAGACACGCAAGACAUCCAUACCGACUGGAAGACUGAAAAUGAACUGUUGGAAUCAAUUUCCUUGGAAUACCCAACUUUUUUUUUCUAUCAUAUUUCAGCAACGGGCUGAACGUUCUAGCCAGUUGAUUCAAUUUAGUAUUUGCAUAACCAACCGGGAGAAGGUGGCAGAGCCCAUGAAUGGAUCUCUUGUUUGUUGUCAGUGUGAAUGUGUUUUGGGCUUGGGUUUUAAAACAUGUGUACGGGGAAGCAAGCCCUCACCCGUUCGGAAGAGUGAAGCUCACAAUGAACUGAAGUCAGACUCAGAAUCCCCCUACCCCGAGUUGCUAGCUGCCAUUCCGCCCACGUGCCUGCAGGAUCCUUCCUGAUGUUCACUAAUAGGGCCUUUGGUUCAGUCUCCUCAUGUAGUCCGGAUCUUAGACUGCCUUGGCAAAAUAUUUGAAAUUAUUUGGUGGCAAGGAAGAAGGACAAUGCUGUCCCUUACUUUGCACAUAGAAAAGGGACAAGCAGGCUUUUCUAAAAUAGAAGCUGUUUUAAUAGGAUUUCAGCCAGGGCACUAAUUAAAUAUUUCACAGAUCCCCCAACCUAAUGUGCUAACACUGUGAAUUUUUUCCACCAAAUCAUACAAAUUGGCCUUCUCUAAGGGCACCCCAUGCGCACUCCAUCUACCCUUUCCAUAUUCACCAUACACACACACACACACACACACACACACACAUACACCGUACCACAAACUCCUACCAACUGGUUUUCUGAAUGGCAUUACAAAGAAUUUUGUUAAAGAAAAGUCAGACUAAUUGCUGCCAGAAGACCAGGCUCUUGGAGAAGUCUGGUUUUCAUAAACCAGAUUCAGUCAAGGUUGUGGUUAAACCUAAGCCUAUGGAAGGCUCUUAAGGUUUCCUCAGCAAUACAAAGAAACACUAAGUUCAGCCAACAUGCUGGGGGGGGGGGAGCGUGUUGGGGAGAGGGUUCAGAAGAGUUAUCUGAACUCUUUUUUCUUUCUACAUCCCUCCCCUCUGAAGAACACCCUCAAACUCCCUAACUCCAUACCCCCCACUCAAGCAACACCUCACAAUUACUCACUAACUUGACUUUCAACCCUGUGACACUCAGAGCUGACGGCUGGAACCUGAGCUAGAGAGUACAGAAGGGUUACAGUUUUUAAGGCACCCAAGAUUCUGAAAUGAUACAUUUUGCCCAGUUUGCCCCAUGCACAGGCUACCUAUGGUUAGGCACACACACACACAAAAAGAUACUCUGAAUUGCAAGCAGGUGGCAUUCCCUUCUUUUACCCAGUCACUGAGAAGCACCGGGGCUCCUGGAGAUUUUAAGUGAAUGCCACUCCCAGCUUUCCCUGCCUCUGGUCUCUCUAAGCUCGGCCAGCAGGACAGCCGUGGGCGGAAAGACAGAGAGUUAGAAAGUGGUAUUGUGGGUGGGGGUGGUUGAGGUCGUGACCUUUAAGCAUUUAAGAAGAGAGGGCUCCUCUAAAAAUGACCUUAUUAUGGAGGUGCUGGGUUCACUUCAGGCUUUCCUGAUCUAAAUUUUCCUCUAGUCUCUUCUCCUCAAAGCUUUCAUGGGUGUGGUCCCAGGGCUGGUUAGAAACCUCCCCAAAUGCAUUGUUUUCUAAUUAUGGAUCUUGCCCCCCCCCGCCACCCCCGUUCCACAAGCCCACCUCAUUCCAGUUGAUCCAAGAAGUUAACCCUAUCUGAUUCUAUGUCAUGAUGAAAAGAGAGGAGAAAGUCAAACCAGGCCUGGCAGCAAAGGCCUGUGAUUCCAGCCCUUGUUAUCCUGAGGGUUCGCACUGAACUCCUUCGCAAGAUCCUUAGUGGCCCUUUGCUGAAUUCACACCACUGACCAUAGAGACACAGACAUACAAAAACGAGGGGCAGUGGGCUAACCAAAUGAACACUAGUUGAAUUUCAAAAUCGUUCUCCGUUCUCCAAUCUUCCUGGUUGGGGUGUCCAGAGAAAUCAUCUUUUCCUUACUCAAAACCACUGACAAAGUCAAUACUGCCUAGCAAAGUAUAUGUCCCAUUUUCUAGGUCCUGCGGGAAUCAAACCACCCCCACCCCCGCUGCUUCCCUUUAUGUCCCAAAGCCUGAACUUUAUAGGGCCUUAAGAAUAGUGUUUCCAAACAUUGUACUAAAGUGUGGACAUGGAAAUUGGCUUCAAAAUACUAACCUAGGCACUGUCUUGAACCAACUGUCUGAUCUAUUUGGAUGCCCACGAAUAGCUUUGUCAGACUUAGGAGAUAGACCAGUGGGUUGACACUGAAGAGCCAUGAAGCUAAGAAGACCUUACCAGAUCAAGUACUUCAAUCUAAGAAUGCACACACAGGAGAGUUGUCCCAUCCUCAUCCCCAUGCUCUGGGGAGUUUCCUGAUUUAAAGACUUGCUGAAAUUCUACAUCUGUAGGAUGGGGGGGAAGGAGGCAAGCUGGUGAGCACUGUCUUCUUCCUCUUCGUUACCGGGAAUAAAUUGUUGCAGAAGGAAAACUA
rnacentral:lncRNA from 1 species